rnacentral:rRNA from 1 species
UACAGAGGUCUCAAGCGUUGUUCGGAUUCAUUGGGCGUAAAGGGUGCGUAGGUGGCGGGGUAAGUUGGAUGUGAAAUCCCGGGGCUCAACCCCGGAACUGCAUUCAAUACUGCUCUGCUAGAGUACUGGAGAGGAGAUUGGAAUUCAUGGUGUAGCAGUGAAAUGCGUAGAUAUCAUGAGGAAGACCAGUGGCGAAGGCGGAUCUCUGGACAGUUACUGACACUGAGGCACGAAGGCCAGGGGAGCAAACGGG